GGUUCAAUGGUCUAAUGGUUAUGAUUUCUGUCUCACUUGAGCAUUGGUGAAAGGUCACGUGCACAGAAGGCUCCCAGUUCGAUCCUGGGUUGGACUU